rnacentral:misc_RNA from 1 species
GUAGGUGAACCUGCGGAAGGAUCAUUAAGAAAACGGGGAGGCGUGUGCUCGAUUUCUUUGGAAUCGGGACGCGGCUCCUUUUGGUAUCCAAAUUCAUUAUUUUUGUUUCGGAAUCCGGCUAUCGCAUGCUCGAUUCCCAAAUCGAAUAGCAACAAAACUUUCAACAAUGGAUCUCUUGGCUCUUGCAUCGAUGAAGAACGCAGCAUCUGACUGACUAAGAUUCG